CCCCUCUCAGGGUUGCACCUGGAGAGUUUCCAGCAUGUUACCAGUCUCGACUACCAGAGGGAGAGUCAAGCAGAAGCAUAUGCAUUCCAUUCCUAGCUUGGGCAGUGGCUAGUCAGUGGAAAACAAUCUGCUACAAGU
rfam:Ornithorhynchus anatinus chromosome 1, whole genome shotgun sequence.